AGUGGUACGUGAGCUGGGUUUAGAACGUCGUGAGACAGUUCGGUCCCUAUCUGCCGUGGGUGAAGGAGACUUGCGAGGCGCUGUCCCUAGUACGAGAGGACCGGGAUGGACGCACCUCUGGUGCACCGGUUGUCGCGCCAGCGGCACAGCCGGGUAGCUAUGUGCGGACUGGAUAACCGCUGAAAGCAUCUAAGCGGGAAACCACCCUCUAAACCAGGUCUCCCCACAGGGCCGUGCAAGACCAGCACGUCGAUAGGCCAGACGUAGAAGUGCGGCAACGCAUGCAGCGAACUGGUCCUAAUCGCCCAAACGGCUCAAAACC
rnacentral:rRNA from 1 species